AGAGCGAACGCUGGCGGCAGGCCUAACACAUGCAAGUCGAGCGCUCGUAGCAAUACGAGAGCGGCAGACGGGAGAGUAACACGUGGGAACGUACCCUUUGGUUCGGAACAACACAGGGAAACUUGUGCUAAUACCGAAUAAGCCCUUACGGGGAAAGAUUUAUCGCCAAAGGAUCGGCCCGCGUCUGAUUAGCUAGUUGGUGGGGUAAUGGCUCACCAAGGCGACGAUCAGUAGCUGGUCUGAGAGGAUGACCAGCCUCAUUGGGACUGAGACACGGCCCAAACUCCUACGGGAGGCAGCAGUGGGGAAUAUUGGACAAUGGGCGCAAGCCUGAUCCAGCCAUGCCGCGUGGAUGAUGAAGGCCUUAGGGUUGUAAAGUCCUUUUAACGGGGAAGAUAAUGACGGUACCGUAGAAUAAGCCCGGCUAACUUCGUGCCAGCAGCCGC
rnacentral:rRNA from 1 species